UACGGAGGGUGCAAGCGUUGUUCGGAAUUACUGGGCGUAAAGCGCGUGUAGGCGGCCUUGUAAGUCAGAUGUGAAAGCCCCCGGCUCAACCGGGGAAGUGCAUCUGAAACUGCUUGGCUUGAGUACGGGAGAGGGAGGCGGAAUUCCCAGUGUAGAGGUGAAAUUCGUAGAUAUUGGGAGGAACACCGGUGGCGAAAGCGGCCUCCUGGACCGAUACUGACGCGGAGACGCGAAGGCCGGGGGAGCAAACAGG
rnacentral:rRNA from 1 species